rnacentral:rRNA from 1 species
UUCGCCCUUAGAGUUUGAUCCUGGCUCAGGACGAACGCUGGCGGCGCGCCUAACACAUGCAAGUCGAACGGAGUUUGAGAGAGCUUGCUUUUUCAAACUUAGUGGCGAACGGGUGAGUAACGCGUGAGUAACCUGCCCUGGAGUGGGGGACAACAGUUGGAAACGACUGCUAAUACCGCAUAAGCCCACAGUGCCGCAUGGCACAGCGGGAAAAGGAUUUAUUCGCUUCAGGAUGGACUCGCGUCCAAUUAGCUAGUUGGUGAUGUAACGGCCCACCAAGGCGACGAUUGGUAGCCGGACUGAGAGGUUGAACGGCCACAUUGGGACUGAGACACGGCCCAGACUCCUACGGGAGGCAGCAGUGGGGGAUAUUGCACAAUGGGGGAAACCCUGAUGCAGCGACGCCGCGUGGAGGAAGAAGGUUUUCGGAUUGUAAACUCCUGUCGUUAGGGACGAUAAUGACGGUACCUAACAAGAAAGCACCGGCUAACUACGUGCCAGCAGCCGCGGUAAAACGUAGGGUGCAAGCGUUGUCCGGAAUUACUGGGUGUAAAGGGAGCGCAGGCGGGAAGACAAGUUGGAAGUGAAAACCAUGGGCUCAACCCAUGAAUUGCUUUCAAAACUGUUUUUCUUGAGUAGUGCAGAGGUAGAUGGAAUUCCCGGUGUAGCGGUGGAAUGCGUAGAUAUCGGGAGGAACACCAGUGGCGAAGGCGGUCUACUGGGCACCAACUGACGCUGAGGCUCGAAAGCAUGGGUAGCAAACAGGAUUAGAUACCCUGGUAGUCCAUGCCGUAAACGAUGAUUACUAGGUGUUGGGGGAUUGACCCCCUCAGUGCCGCAGUUAACACAAUAAGUAAUCCACCUGGGGAGUACGACCGCAAGGUUGAAACUCAAAGGAAUUGACGGGGGCCCGCACAAGCAGUGGAGUAUGUGGUUUAAUUCGAAGCAACGCGAAGAACCUUACCAGGUCUUGACAUCCGAUGCAUAGCACAGAGAUGUGUGAAAUCCUUCGGGACAUCGAGACAGGUGGUGCAUGGUUGUCGUCAGCUCGUGUCGUGAGAUGUUGGGUUAAGUCCCGCAACGAGCGCAACCCUUAUUGCCAGUUACUACGUUAAGAGGACUCUGGCGAGACUGCCGUUGACAAAACGGAGGAAGGUGGGGAUGACGUCAAAUCAUCAUGCCCUUUAUGACCUGGGCUACACACGUACUACAAUGGCGUUAAACAAAGAGAAGCAAGACCGCGAGGUGGAGCAAAACUCAAAAACAACGUCUCAGUUCAGAUUGCAGGCUGCAACUCGCCUGCAUGAAGUCGGAAUUGCUAGUAAUCGCGGAUCAGCAUGCCGCGGUGAAUACGUUCCCGGGCCUUGCACACACCGCCCGUCA